UACAGAGGUCUCAAGCGUUGUUCGGAUUCAUUGGGCGUAAAGGGUGCGUAGGUGGCGCGGUAAGUCGGGUGUGAAAUCUCGGAGCUUAACUCCGAAAUUGCAUUCGAUACUGCCGUGCUUGAGGACUGGAGAGGAGACUGGAAUUCAUGGUGUAGCAGUGAAAUGCGUAGAGAUCAUGAGGAAGACCAGUGGCGAAGGCGGGUCUCUGGACAGUUCCUGACACUGAGGCACGAAGGCCAGGGGAGCAAACGGGG
rnacentral:rRNA from 1 species